rnacentral:rRNA from 1 species
GACAGAGGGUGCGAACGUUGUUCGGAAUUACUGGGCGUAAAGCGCAUGUAGGCGGCAGCGCAAGUCGGGCGUGAAAUCCCACGGCUCAACCGUGGAAGUGCACUCGAAACUGCGCAGCUAGAGUCCUGGAGAGGAAGGUGGAAUGCUUGGUGUAGAGGUGAAAUUCGUAGAUAUCAAGCGGAACACCGGUGCGAAGGCGGCCUCUGGACGAGUGACGUGACGCUGAGAU